AGAAUUCAGGAGAAAUUAUUUUCUCCUGUACUAUCACAUUGAUACAGAAAAAAAAAUUCUUCUGGAACCUUUCACCAACAUGUCUCUGUUUCAAUUAUUUUUGGCAGUAUAUAUAUUGCGUCUCUGUCUCAGCUACCUUUUAUAUCGACAGUUGGUAGCACAAGCCUUUUAACGCACAAAGGGUAGCAGCUCUUCAGCCAAUCUGUGAUAAAAGGGAAAAAAUGAAAUCACUAUGGAAACUGCAGGAAGGAUCUAAAAGCUCUCUUUAUAAAGUAAACGUCUGAUGUUUGUGACUGCAGGGGUAAAAAAUUCAUAAAUCUGUGUGAUGCUAUCAUUUCUGAUUUGUUAUCACUGCAAAUGCCAAUUGGAAGCAGCCUGACCUUAGCUUCAUUAAGUGUCUGUUCAGAAAUAGUUACUAUUCAACAGGAGGAAGACGGGGGCCUGCGGAGAGGUCAGGGGUUUAAGCGGGUAGUGUGGGACAGAGGGAAGAAACUAAUUUGCUUCGAAUGUUUCUUUUCUCAUUUGAUUGUCUUUUUCUUUUAAAUCACAGUGACUUGAUGGAAUCGGGCACAAUGAAUUUGUUCUGCUCUAUGUUUUAUUUUGGUUUGUGUUUCAUUCAGAAAUGGAAUAAACCUCAGACCCAAAUUCAACUUAGAAAAGUAUGUCUGUUUUUGCUUUUGAAUUGAAAGAAAAAAGGGGGAAAAAAAUCACUCACCCUCUCCUUUCAAUCAAAAAGCAAAUAAAUACCAAGGAGAAGUCUUCUCACUUCAGCACCCUGGACCCUUAGGAGUCAAAAAGGAAGGAUCCUGACUACACAAGCUGUGAUGAAUUUGAUUUGACAACAGACAGCAACAAACACCUGUGUCGAGGAGGAAGUUUCAGAAUAUCUCAUCAAUGCUCAGAAGUUAAGUGACUUUUAAAAGAGUUAUAUGGAUGUUGAAAUAAGGAACUUUUUAUUUAAUAAUAGUUCACCUGUGGUGGAGGGACUAUGAGGUCAAGAGGACACUGAAAAAUUCUCCAGUGUGAAAUUCUGCAAAUUCAAUAGUAGCCUUAAUUCAGAGGAAGAUGAAAAUUCAAACUUGGAUGGGAAGACUUCACGUGACAGAGUGAAGAGAGGGGAGCACUUCCAGUUGGAGCUGUGGGGCAUCAGCCACUCUCCCACUUCCUGUGAAGCUCUGCAAACAGCUGUUGGAGAAGUCAGCCUAAUUUCGCAUGUCCGUGUUCAAGUUAUGUGGAUGAAAAGAGAGAGACGCAGCCGAGUACCAGGGGAAUUAGCCUACCCCUUGCUACCGUUAAUGAGUGGUGCCCCUCACCUCAUGGGUUUAUUCCUCAAAAACCCAGCACAUGAAACAGUUUUUUUCCCUUUCCUUUCAAGAAACAGUUGGCACUUUAUGUUGGACUUCUGCUUGACAUGAAUUAUUUGGCAAAUUGGGGACUGAAGUGUGAAUUAUAAACUUAGGGCUGUGUAAUAGGCUUCAGGGGUGUUCCAGGGACAAAGUCAUCCUAGCAGAGUUCUCACAAAGAACUUUAUUGAGAAAAAAAAGUGAUCUUUUCCCUCACUCAUAAAAGAACAACAAUAAAAAUGUAUAGCUGGCUGAAAUACUGAUUUCC
ensembl:lncRNA